UACGUAGGGUGCAAGCGUUAAUCGGAAUUACUGGGCGUAAAGCGUGCGCAGGCGGUGAUGUAAGACAGUUGUGAAAUCCCCGGGCUCAACCUGGGAACUGCAUCUGUGACUGCAUCGCUGGAGUGCGGCAGAGGGGGAUGGAAUUCCGCGUGUAGCAGUGAAAUGCGUAGAUAUGCGGAGGAACACCGAUGGCGAAGGCAAUCCCCUGGGCCUGCACUGACGCUCAUGCACGAAAGCGUGGGAGCGAAC
rnacentral:rRNA from 1 species